AGGGAUGUCAGUUACAGGCAGUUCCUCUGGCAUAGGUCAACAGGGAUGUCAGUUACAAUUACUUCUCUAGCAUAGCUCACCAUGAAUGUUAGCCAGAUGCACCUUCUCUGGCAUAGGUGAGCACAAUUUCCAGAAUUAGAAUUUUAAGACUUAUCUCAGGUUUUAUUUCUCCAUUGACAAACCUGAAGGGUUAGGAAGCUUUUCAAAUUUUUCUCACGGUCAAAACAGUGACACUUGUCCUCUACACAGCCAUAGUUGCUCCCUGACCUUGAAAUUAACUAAACAAAAAGGAGAUGAAAUAGUUUGAAAACUUGUUUAGAUGAGUAUGAAUGCCUGGGUUGCUGUUGCUGGACAAGGAAAUGGGAUAGACAGAUGAUGAAUCACAUGACUCAAAAACACAUGUAAGGAGAUUUCACUCCAUGCUACUGGAGAAUGGAAGUGAACAGAGUCCAUACAGGAUGAAGCUAACUUAACCAUGGUGAAUAAUAUUUUGAUGCAAUGUUGAAUUUGGUUUGGAAAGAUUGGGAACUUUUGCAUCUAUUUCCAUGAGAGGUUUGUGUAUGCUGUGUAACAUUCUGGUCUAAUCUGUGUGAUCUAAUCUGAUGGGCCGUGGACCAGAAGAAUGGUGUUUGGGAUCACUGUGGAUUUUAGCCCUCAGAUCCCAACAGUCCUCUGUUUGAAGUUCUGUUUGGAGCUCUGGGUUAAGGAUUAAGGAGUACCAGGGAAUCUUAAGAUGGAGGAGACAGUGGCAAGUCUAACAGUACUCUAGAGAGUCCUGAAUGGAGGAGUGGAAGAAGGGCAGAGGGCUCCUAUCUGCCCAGACCACAAGUGAAGAGGGACAUGCUAUGAUUUGCAUCCCAGAGGAAGAUGCACCAAGAGGGACAAACUCCACUGAGAGGACUUAAAUAUGCUUUUUGCAGUUAGUAAGCUGAAGAACGCGGCGGGACACUAGGUCAAAGUAGGGCCUUUGGUGAUGGAAACGAAGAUGAAUGUUACAGGCAUAAUCAAUGUGGUUUUCUGAUAAAUAUUUUCUCAAGGUGUGUCCCUCAGCUAAUUAGAUGAGUGGGUGAGGAAGAGUGAGAAGUCAGGGAUGAGAUGCAGGCUCAGGCUUGGGAAACCAAGGGAGUAACAAGAGAAGCCAAUGAUUGGACAAUGACGUCAUUCCUUCAGCGGCUUUAUACGUCUGGGAACUGAAAUGCUAGGGAGUGGAAGACUGUAUGGUAAACAUUGUAGGAGUUGAGUCCGUUGCUCCCUUCUUAUCAUUUUUUUCUCAUCACAAAUAACACUUCCCAGUCAAGUAUGUGUCAUUGGGGUGUAUUGUGUGGAAUUUCCAAAUGAUCAAUAAAAACAAUAUGCUGGAGGAAAAACAGAAU
rnacentral:lncRNA from 1 species